rnacentral:piRNA from 1 species
UCAAAUUGCAUAAAUGCUCCUCUAGCCUCGU